CACAAUUAUUUCAUUUCAUUAACUAUUUCUAAUUUUAUCUUUUAGUUUUUCCUUUUAAAAUCUGGGUGCUAUAACAAUUGAUAUACAUGACUCCAAUAUUGAUAAUGUUUCAUUAUCCAUAGUAAACCCACAAAUAUAAUACAAUUACCUUUUUCAUCCCUUCUAAAUUAAUCCAUUUUAGAGCCCCAACACCAUCAGAGAUCAUGACUGCUCCCCAUACUGGAUCAGCUGAAGCAUAUUAUAUUCUGCCCCAACUCCUUCCCUUCAUUGUAUUUGUCAGUCUUUUUCAGUAUAAAUAACACAUUUUCAGGACUUGAUAUUUAAUCAUUUCUGUUGUCAUUUUUUCCCUUUGGGUGAAUUCAUCCCAAUAUACUUUAAGGUAUAAAUUUGAUCUUGUUGAUAUUUAUGGCCAGUGGAUAUUGAUCGACUAAUGCUGUCAGGGAGUUCUAGUGGACAGGAGUUGAUAAACUUGAUGGAUAUAGUUUAAAAUAUUGUCAUUUAUUAAUUAUAUCUAAUCGGAGAGGUAGGGAAAGAAAAAGAAUAUAGGAAUAAUGAAGGGCAUCUUAAAUCCCUCUGUCCUGCAAGGGACUGCUUUGUGUCUGAUGAGAUCAGUCCUAACUUAACUUCCUGUCUAUCUAAAGCUAUAAAAUCUAACUGACUAAGCAAAUCUAAUAGUUGAACUUAAAAUUAUAUCAUUUUCCUUAAAUUAUAUUUAAAAAUCCUCCAGCUGCCUCAAACUGAUUGUCACCUAAAUGGCAGUUCAUUUGGUCUCUUCUCACAGCAAGGUGCCAAAACUGACACUACUCAAGGGAGAGUGAAAGAGUGAUCCCUUUUGACAUUCUUCCCUCUUUCAAAGAAAAAAGGAUCAUUUCACCCAAUCUCCCUCAGAUCACAAUUUGUUUCCUGUCUUCUCCAAAAUAACACUUAAGAAAAAUCCCAGAGUUAUCAGAGCCAACUCUCUAGUCACCUCCUCCAAGCAAGGAAGCUCCAGAGUGAUCUGUUCCCCCAACUGUCUUUCCUUUCAUAAAAUUCUCUUCAUGUCCCCCACAGAAAAUUCCUUCCUCCACUGCUUAAAAGAGCCAAGAUCCAGAAUCCUAGACUGUAGAAGAGACAAACUUUUCCAUCAUGGAGGAUGACCAUCAAAUUAGAGAAUUAACCUAAAUCUUUACUUGUACCAGAAAACAGUUGUUUGAAUGGUACAAAACGAAGGUGAGAUAUAAAUAAUUAAUUUGUAGCCCUGAAAAUUUCUUAUGCUGAAUUGGAUUUAGAUAUCAACUUUCAAAAUGGUUAUAAGGUUUUGCUCUUCUGCUUGAUUAGUUUGUCU
rnacentral:lncRNA from 1 species